UAAUCUGUAGUUUUAAAGCCUUCAGUCUUAGCCAGAGAAAACUACCAGUUCACCAGCAAUAAAAUAAAAUAGAAUAAAAAUAAUAAAAUAAAAAUAAAGUGGCUUUCUUAUUUUCCGAGUACGAGAAAGCUAAAGUUCUGAUAAUUUUUUUAUAAAGGUGACACAACAAGAAGGCAUACCAAAUUACCAAUAAAAGAAAGAGUGGUUUGGAAGGAAAACGUCAGCAGUGCCAAAACCCAACAAAAAAAAACAUAGUCAACAUUGAACAAAAUAAUUGGAACUUAUAAUGGUUGAUAAGGCUGAAACCCAUUAUGAUAAUAUUUAAUCAUGCCCGUAUAUAUAGGUGAAUCUGGUAAGACAUUGAAGCCAUUAAAAAUUGUGCUGACAAAUUCUGUUAGAUAACCUUCGUUUUGAAGCCAUACCGCCAUACUAGCGUGAAUAAUAGUUGGCCUGUUUCCAUUUUGCGUAUUCCCUGCUAAAGUCAGGUGAGUCAAGUUCAUUGUUCUCGUUUGGGUUUUCAGUAGGAAGUGUAUUCUGGCGGAAUUCUGAACGUGAUACUGCAUUUGCGCCUAUUAAAAUAGUUAAAAUCGUAAAUCAUCCACCCUUUUUAGGGCAAUGUUUCUUGAGAUAUCCGUUGCCUUAGCAUAGAGAUUUCGUCCUAUCUCUUUCCUGAAAGAACUGCACGACUGGCUUGUUUGGAUAAAAGGAGGCAAAUCUGUACAUAAUAAUUAGAACAAAUAAGGUAACUGAUGCAGCAAAAACAGCUAUAGCUACGUAUGGGAUGGUUCAAGUGGAUUCACGGGCAAUUGCAAGCAGCACCAAACGGACCAUUCACAGCAGGGCAAUGGCACUAAACUCAAUGGAGUGCGGAUGAUUUACGGGCCAGGCCGAAAAAUAGGCGUUUAGUACGGAUGGAUGUGACAUCGGAAGGGACCUCAGCGGUUGCGGAUGCUGCGGUAUCGACGGGGACAUCAGGCUGACCGUCGUUAUUCGUAUCGACACCCUUGAAGUUCAGGUUACUGACAAAAUGGCGAAUUGUGUGGAGACGAUUGAGGAGCGAAUUGAGCACAGGCACAAGCUAAAAGGCAGCUAAAUAUCUGUUGACAAACUUUGUACUUUAAAAUGAUCUCAAAAUGGAAAUGUGGAAAGACUUGAGUAAAGGAAGUGCGUUAUACCAAAAA
rnacentral:lncRNA from 1 species